rnacentral:lncRNA from 1 species
AUGCCCACAACAGCAUGUGUCACUGAGCCGUCACGUGCAAAUGGCAGUGAUGGUAUGCAGCUGUGCACCAUGUUUGUUUUACUGUGGCUAGGUGACCAGGGAUGCAUAUGUGCUACAUUCGUGUGUGAUGGCGUGUGCCUGGUGUGGCCAUGGCUGAGGCUUUACCUGCGGCUCUCAGGACGACAGCAGGAACACCUUGGGCAUUACCAGGACAAGGGGGCACUGGGAGAGUAGCACUCAGAGGAAGGUCUCUGGGAGGGGCUGAGGAUGGGGAGGAGAAAUGGGAACCAGGCUUCCCUACUACACCUGCCCCGCCCACCAUUAGUAUCCCUGAGAUUCCAGACCCAAGAGCUAAGUGCUUUGGUCAUAGCAAGGGCAGCCCCUGCCUGGACCCUGCCUGCCCACCACUCCAGCCUCUCCCUGGCUUCUCCAGCUGGCACUCCUCCAGCUGGACUCCUCCUGCUCCCCAGUAA